GACGAACGCUGGCGGCGUGCUUAACACAUGCAAGUCGAACGGAAAGGCCCUGCUUUUGUGGGGUGCUCGAGUGGCGAACGGGGGAGUAACACGUGAGUAACCUGCCCUUGACUUUGGGAUAACUUCAGGAAACUCGGGCUAAAACCGCAUAGGAGCUCCUGCUGCAUGGGGGGGGUUGGAAAGUUUCGGCCGUUGUGGCUGGACUCGCGGCUUAUCGGCUUGUUGGUGAGGUAGUGGCUUACCAAGGCUUUGACGGGUAGCCGGCCUGAGAGGGUGACCGGCCACAUUGGGACUGAGGUACGGCGCAGUCGCCAACGGUAGGCAGCGGUCGGGAAUAUUGCGCAAUGGGCCGACGCGUGUUGCGGCAACCCCGCGUGCGUGAUGACGUCCUUCGGGUUGUAAACCGCUUUCGCCUGUGACGAAGCGGGAGUGACGGUAAUGGGUAAAGAAGCACCGGCUAACUACGUG
rnacentral:rRNA from 1 species